AUACAACUGGAGUGCAUGUAUGACUCACUAUACAUUCGGGCCUAACACUUUUUAAAAGGGAAUGAGAAUCUUUUAUCGGUAUAAAACGCUUCCUUUAGUUGAAGACUUUAGAAGAUAAAGCUAUCGUACCCACCUGAUUAUAUCAGGACCAAUUUAGGUGAUAAUCUACGGUACUCUGGUUUUGUG
rnacentral:other from 2 species